AAAGACCCUCCAGGUGGAAAGGGCAGAGCAGCACACCCCUCCCCCCGGUGGAAAAGCAAAAAUCUGUCGUUCCCCACCAUUCAUUGGUCUUAGAACGUUCGUUCGAGGGGGAGAAUGUUGGCGGCGGAGACGGAGAGAAGUGCUUGGCAGUAAGUGGCCCAACGUCUUGCCUUGGAAGCGCCUGCAGCCUCCCGCUAACGGCGUCUGCUGUUCCACGGGGUCGGGUGGAUGGCGGGCUUCUCUGUGACCUGCGGCCGCACCUGAGCAGCGACCCCGCUCCAGCGUCCACGCAUAAGUGCAGACGUAAGCUCGGUGGCACUGGCCACGGCAUUUCCACCCUUCUGAGCCCCCGGGAACAGGCUGGUGGCUAAGUCACCUCCACCUAGGGUGUGGCAGGCGGGGUCCGCACGCAGGGGGGAAGGGGCCCUGAGCCCCUCUGUCUGCACGCCUGCCCGCCCCAGCUCUUCCCCACCCCCUCACCCUGCACAGUUCAGCACAAACGCCACUUCCUCCAUGAAGCCCUUGCAGAUUCUCCUGCAGGAAACCACCCCGCGGCCUCUGCACCGCAGCCCCACCUCUGCGCCUCUUCUGGAACAUUCGUUACCGUCCAGCUCGCUCCGCUGUUUCUUCCGUCCGCGCUCACGUGCUUCCCGGCCUGGCUGUCGGUUCCUCGCCGGCCGCCGGGAGUUCGUUCCAAGUUUUGCUUUUCCCUGGUACUUAGCCAGUGAUUCGAGCGGAGGGGGUCCUCGAUAAAUAGUCGGGUAAUGAUCGCAUUGUGGGGGGAGUGGCGAUCUGAGAAGAAAUCCGAUCCGGGCUUAAAAGCUCCCGUCUCAAGCUUGUGGCUUUGGAAGAGAGGAGAGUAAAAUCAGUUUUUAUUGAAUGUGUC